GAGUUUGAUCGUGGCUCAGAUUGAACGCUGGCGGCAGGCCUAACACAUGCAAGUCGAGCGGAUGACGGGAGCUUGCUCCUUGAUUCAGCGGCGGACGGGUGAGUAAUGCCUGGGAAUCUGCCUGGUAGUGGGGGACAACGUUUCGAAAGGAACGCUAAUACCGCAUACGUCCUACGGGAGAAAGCAGGGGACCUUCGGGCCUUGCGCUAUCAGAUGAGCCUAGGUCGGAUUAGCUAGUUGGUGGGGUAAUGGCUCACCAAGGCGACGAUCCGUAACUGGUCUGAGAGGAUGAUCAGUCACACUGGAACUGAGACACGGUCCAGACUCCUACGGGAGGCAGCAGUGGGGAAUAUUGGACAAUGGGCGAAAGCCUGAUCCAGCCAUGCCGCGUGUGUGAAGAAGGUCUUCGGAUUGUAAAGCACUUUAAGUUGGGAGGAAGGGCAGUAAGUUAAUACCUUGCUGUUUGACGUUACCGACAGAAUAAGCACGGCUAACUCUGUG
rnacentral:rRNA from 1 species